CAUCUGUUUCAGACAUUUAUUUCCAUUUAAAUGACACUUUGAAAGAUCGAGGAGCCAAUCUGUACCGCAAAGACAACUUAUCAUCAAAGACUCUAGAAGUACAAUCGUAUCAAUUCACAAGACUUGAUUUCUUCAACUUAAAUGAUAGCUUUUAGUUAAAAUAUACCUGAGAGAAGAACUCCAAAGGAUGCCUGCCUCAUAAUCUGCCCUGGACUUGUCAUUCCCGACAGGACACCUCAAUGGACACUGCCCCACCCCAUUAAGACUCUGAAGCGUAGGGUCCCAUUGCUUUGCUUCCGAAAUCCAAGGGGAACAAGAAGUACCCAUCUCUUACAAAAAUAAGCAUGUCAACAUUGUUCAGUACAUUUUUCUACACAUAUAAAAUCAAAAUAAAUUGUAAAAAUAUUUUUCCAGGUACAAAAUAAAUAUAGAAAACAUCAAUGUAAAAACAAAAGGAUUGUCCGAUUCAGACCAUUACCUUGCCAAUUUUUCGGGAAGAGUGAAUUAUCACAUCAAUCGACAACCUAAAACUCACCUAGUUAAGUGCAUUAUUUUCAUAAUUUAAUUUUCAUUAAAAAUAAAUAUGAUUAUUAACCAAUAAUAAGGACAUAUACCCAUUUCCAAAAUACAAUGACAUAAGAGUCUAGCAGAUCCCCCUAAUAUACAAGGAAAUGACAGUUUCAAAUAGCAUUCAGUGACAUGUAAAUUUAAUUUCGUGUCUUUUAGGAAAAGCAAAAUUUGACUGCGAAGUCUCCUCUGGUUGCAUUAAGUAAUUUCCAGUCAUGGUAGAUUUUAGUGAUGUCUUAUUUGACCAGGUAAAACAAGUCAUCUAUUUCCCAUCUGAUACUCUCUGGAGCCGAAUUGAACCAAGUAUCACUAUGUCUUUGGCUUACCUCUUCGGGGACCCAGGGACUGGACCCCUGAGCCAACAGACCUCACGCUGGCUUCGCUGGCAGGAGGGUCUGCGCCUGGCUGUGUCCACGCCACACUGGCCAACUUAACUCUGCGCUUCUUUGACCAGUGAAUGGAGGUAGAAUAGAUGAUGUAAAGCAGUAUGACACAAAAUGUUGCAUUUGGCUAUGGAGUUCGUUUUUCUGCUCAUAUUUAAAAGUGAUUGUGUCUGAUAAGUAGGAAGAUCAUUUUUUAAAUUAAUUAAAAACUAAUUUUUUGUUUGUCAGUCUUCCGAUUGGCAGGUGCCAGGAUGCACUCCAACUUCCUCCUGUUGGCGUGGCUCUUGCCCUGUGCAGAGGGUGGACAGGUUCCCUUCAGCUUCAAGGCCAAUCUGAGAGCAAGAGGUCCGUUCCUAGCACUCAGAUUUCAACAGCAGGAAAACAGACAGAAAUUCAUGCCUCUACAUUCCCAGGGGCCACACACUGCAAAUCCUUCUCUCUACAUUCCCAACAGAGAAUGUAAGCACCUUUCAUAUCCCAGAGACAUAGUUAAGAGUUUACUUCAAAUACACCUCAGCCCAUGAUAAAGUUCCUAGUGUUCACAUACAGAUUUUGGGGUCACGUAGAACGAAACAGAAAUAAAAACAAGUCCCAACAAUAAUGAAUAAAAGAGGCUUCAGGAACUGAUGUUUGAAGGAACCUUACAGCUCACUCCCAGGCCACCAUUCUUUCUUGUGAUGGGAGUUGCCUUGUGGGUGCCUGAAUACCACCUUUGAGAGAUCCCCUGAGAACCCAAUAGAUAAUUAUCAAGUAUCUACUCUCCAGCAGGCACCAUGCCAGAGACCCAAACAGAGAGAGGAAUCAGGCUGGAAGAACUUUAAAAUCUGCCAGGAGCGACACAGCCAUGGAAAUUGCUAUAAUGUCCAUUCUGAUAUAACAAACGCUGAAAAUUAAUUAAUUAAAAAAAUGUUAUGAGAAAGCAAAUAAUUCCUGCUACAGUUUGAAUGUGUCCCCCAAAGUGCAUGUGUAAGGAAACUUAAUCCCCAGUGCAACAGCGUUGAGAGGUGGGACCUUUUAAGAGGUGACUGGGUCAGGAGGGUUCUGCUGUCAUGAAUGAAUUAAUGUUAUUAUAAGAGGAGGGUCAGUUAUUGCCAAGAGUGAUUUUAUCAAAGCAAGUUUUGCUCUUUUGCCCACAAUGACACAGCAUGAAGGCCCUCACCAGAGGCCAGUGCCAAGCUCUUGGACUUCCUAGCCUCUAGAACCAUGAGCCAGAUUAAUUUCUAUUGUCUAUAAAUCGCCCAGUCUGUGGUAUUCUGUUACAGCAACACAAAACAAACUAAGACACUUCCAAAUGGAGGACAUGGAGAAAAUGUAAACAUUGCCUCAUCUGUUUUUAAAAUGAGGGUGCAUGGCAGCUGUUAGAUUAAAUAAUUAACAAGCCUGAUUUAAUAUAUCACAGAGCCAUAGACUCUUGGCACGGAGGGCCCAUGAGAGUCACCAAAGCCUGUUUUUUUUUUUCUUUUGGAACUGUUUAUCAAGGAUUCUAAAUAGUAUUGCCUCCUCAGUUCUUGCCUGUAAAAAAAACACGUAGAUACUCAAUAGGCUGGUUGAUCUGUUUCACUUUAUUUCACUCUUUCUAAAUGUUCUGCCUGAAAGUUGGUGUCACAUCCUUCAGAGAUGUCUGGAACUGUGGACCACGCCUGCAGCUGGCUUCCACCUUACUGAACAUGGGUGUGUGGCACAUAGCUGUCAUAUAACAAAUGUGUGACUGAUUGUGCAAAGGUGAAAACGAGUGAGGCCCUCAACUCCACCCUGCCACCCCAACAGCUGAGGAGGGCAGUGGGGGUGCCUGCUGUUUUACAUCCCAGGUAAUUAAACCGCCCCUUGCUCUUCCACUGCCCUUCAUGGACACGGGUGGGGCAGUUAACAUUGUUCAGAACCAGCUUCCACUGAGCAUGGUAUCUCUAAUUAGAGCCUCAGAUCUGUCUGUCUGUCUCUCUCUCUCUCAUAGAUACACACACACACACACACACACACAGUCUGAGUGUGGCGCCCCCGGGCUUGUUUUGCAAGGGCAUUAGAUAGGGAGACAGGGAAAGUGGGCUGGACUGAAGAGUUUAUUUUCUGAAGCCAGACAUUUGUUUGGGCUGCCAUUGGACACUUGAGUAACCUCAAGAGAGGGCUGGCCAGGGCAGGACAGGUCAGGGGAUCCAGCUAAACGGGAGGUCCUUGGGAAUGACACAGAUAACUAAGUGCCGAAUCCCAGGAGGUCAAACAGGCCCAGGAAGGGGCAGACUGAAACUCAUAUCAACACUUGGAAAAAAAAAAGUGACAGAAGACAGGAAAAGGGGUCAGGUGGCACACUCCUUGGGCAGGGCUGGUCCCAAGCUUCCUAUGAAAGCAGAUACAUCGGAGGACUCACCACUGUGCCAAGUGGAGAAAAGCAAGGCUGCUCGCGGGAGGCAGCAUUUGGAGGCCGAGGGCCUGUGUCUCCACCACGUCUGAGCCCCCGGGGAAGUCACUGAGUCACCUGCCCCUCAGUUUCCUCCUCUUAAAUCCAGGGGCAUAAUUAUAAGAAUGGUGCCCUCCAGAGGCUGCUGUGGGGUUUCAGUGAAACAGCAGGUAUGGAUGGACAUGGCUUACGAUGCCCACAGAGAAGGCACUGGAACGCUUCUUUAUUCAGCUGUCAAGGGAUCAGGUGCCCCUGAUAAUCUUCUCAGCAUUGUGUAUUUACCCAGUGAAAGCUCUGUAUGCAAAACCCACGGCCUCGAACCUCAGCUUGACCCUCAUUCAGGAUGCCCGGUCAAAGCACUGAGCACUCAACAGAUGAAUAAAUAAACGAAUGAAUGUCUGACAUGGGAUUUCUGAUGCCAGCUUUUAAUCCUGGAUGUGCCACUCGCUGAAGGACCUGGCAAAGUCACUCCAUUUUUCUGAGCUUUGGCUUUCCUAACUGUAAAAGGUUUUAUCUUAAAAAAAAAAAUACUGUAGAUAAUUUCUAAGGCAUCUUCCAGCUCCAACUUCUUUUACCUCAUUCAGAUUUUCACAUAUUCUGAAUUAAGAGGGUCAAGAACACAGUGCUCUGAUUGUGAAGAAUGUCACGAACAGAAGAACUUCUCCAAGAGUUCCAGGAAAGAUUCAAAUGAAGAAAAAGAACAAGAGCUGAAACAAAGCCCUACAGACUCAAUCUGAAGAGUUUUUGAUUUGCACAGAGAUCACCAGACACUGACAGGUACACUGAUAGAUAGUGCUGUAUACACCACCAUAGAAUCCACCAAAAUUCACAGCCCAAACACUGACUAUAAUCAUAAGCACCUGCAUUUACUGAGCACCUACCAUGGGAUGUUGAGCAGUUUAUACUCAUCCUCUCAUUUAACCCACAUGAUCAUCCCAUGAGGCGGGAACUACUAUGGUCCCAUUCUUCAGAUAACAAAACGGAGACAAUGAGAAGAUAAGUAACUUGCCACUCAAGGGACUUGGCGAGGAAGGUAAAAUUCAAACCCAGGCAGCCUGACUCCAGAGCGCAGACCCUGCCCCAGCGAACAGAGCCCGGGGGUGAAGGGUAUGCCCAAGGUCACACUGGAGGGCUGAGGCCGAGUUCUAAAUGUACCACAGCUGGGUGCCAUGCAAGCUUGUCCCUCCCGCAUGCAUAUCUCACUCGCAUUGAUUCAGAGCAGGAGGGGGAAAAAAUGCCUAACACUGAGCACGUGUGAGGAUGAUGUCAUGGGAGGAGGAGGCUACAACUUCCAUUGAGACAACCAUUUCACACCUGGGCACUCCACACCACGCCAUCUUAACAAGACCUCCUUCUUCAUAUCGUUACUCUGCAAAUCACACACAGACCUUGCCCCCCAAAUCAGGGAUAUUUGGAAUAUAUAUCCUGAGUUUGCAGAGGCUAGCUUAGAGCCUGGGUCUGCAAUGGUGGUCUUGGAGUCUCAGGUCACAGAGGCUGGCCUGGUACCAAGAUCUACUAGGAUAAGCCUAGAUCCUGGGUCUACUUGAGCAAGUUGUAACCUGGGUCCUCUGCAGCCUGGGGCCAUGGAGACCUCUCUGGUACUUGGGGUCAGCCCGGUGCUGGGGAUAACAUGGAGCCUUGGUCUCUGGAUCUAUUUACCCCAAAUCAGGAAAUAACCAAGCAAACCCAUUGCUGCUAAGCAACCACUGCAGGCCAUUAGAUACAACAUCGCGAUAGCAGCCCAUGCAUUCAGCCUGCACCCAGUGCUAGGCACAGCCGUGCCAAGAACUCAAUGUGAAUUAUCUUAAUUUCCACACCUCUGACAACCUUCUGAGGUGAACACUAUUAUCAUCCCAUUUUAUAGAGAUGCAGAGACUGAGGUGCAGAGAGAAUGACCACCUGGGGCCACAGCUAGCAAAUUGCAGAGCCAGGGCUGGAACCCGGAGGCGGAGGCUUGAGCGGAGAUGUAAAUGGAAUGGGGCCUCCGUAAGUGGGUCGCCCAGCCCUGGAAGCAAGGUCUCCUCUUCCCCAGUUAGUAUCCUCCCAUGGGCCCUUUUCCCCAGCUUCCCCACCAGGUAGACAGUAACCUGGUGUCCCAGUUACCUCCUUACCGGGUGGGUCUCUAUUUUCCAUGGCUCCUGCCACCAUGGAAGCUGGAGGCUCUGCAAGGCUGUACGUCAGUACAGUUUCUACAGGUGCACAGGGCUAGCUGUGCCCUAAAGAGCGGACGGAAUCCACAUUCUGCACUUCUAGCUGCACAACCUUGGGGUGUGCACACACACACACAAUGCUUCCUUGUUCUUACCAUUCCCAGAGGCCAUGCUCAUAUUUGUUAGCUGAAAUUUAAAGCUUAGGAAGGAAUUUUAAUAAAUUACUUAUGAAACCAAAGUAAACAUCGGGAUAAUUUUUUGCACAAAAAUAACCACACUCAAGGGGAUCAAAAACUCGCAUGAAAAUUAAUUAUUUGGCUUUCCAAGUCCAUUUCAGCCCUCUGUGCCAGCCUGUUGGGAUAACCGGUGCAGCACCCGGUGCCCGGCGGGAGUUGGAAAUCACCAGUCUGACCUCUCACGGACGGCGUGGCCAAAGUUAACUUAGCAAAUUGAGGGCACUGCGAAGCUCGUUAAAUAGGCAAUGACACAUGAAACAAUGAAAAUUGCUGCUCUUGACCACGCUCACCCUCCUGCAGCCUCCAGGGAGGUGGCCUCGGGUCGGGAUGAAUCCAGACAGGUGUGGGCGGCAAGCCAGAGGUUAGCACAGCGGGCGUGGGAUAUGGGGCUCAAGGAAAGAAGGCCUGGCAAGUUAUUGUUGACUUGGAUUUUUCUUUCCUCUCUUUUCACACAGUGUAUUAUGUGGUUACAAUGGUGUGUUUGAAGAGGAGCAGGAAUUAAAUACAUUUAGGGUUUUGUUUUGUUUUUUAAGGCAUGGUGGAUGCCAGCAGGCUGAAGGGUCAGGAGGUCUGGUCUUCCCACUGCCACUAAGUGCUGAGCUGAAGCACAAAUUCUUGAAACAUGGCUGGGUGUGGUGGCUCACACCUAUAAUCCCAGCACUCUGGGAGGCUGAGGCACGUAGAUUACCUGAGGUCAGGAGCUCAAGACCAGCCUGGCCAACAUGGUGAAACCCCGUCUCUACUAACAAUACAAAAAUUAGCUGGUUGGUGGUGCAUGCCUAUAAUCCUAGCUACUCGGGAGGCUGAGGCACAAGAACCCAGGAGGUGGAGGUUGCAGUGAUCCAAGACUGCACCACUGCACUUCAGCCUAGGUGACAGAGUGAGACUCUGUCUCAAAAACAAACAAACAAAAACAAGAGUUUGCAUGACAGUGUAGAUGAGACAGGACUGGCCAGGUGUCGGGCUGGAGGACAGGCGCACAGACUGCACCGUGUGAUUCUGUCCACCCUGCAUUGUGUGAGGUUUUCCGUUUUGGAAGAAAAGGGGUGAAGAGCAUGGCUGUGGAGCAUUUCUAGGUUUUCAGGUCACAGAGUCGCACCCAUUUCCUACUUACUGACUCAAGUGAAACCACAGUGUUGGCUUACUUUGAAAAAUAUUUCUUUUUUUUCAGUCCUGGUUCACCCAUUCCCUUCUAAAACCCACCUACCAUACCAAUACAUUCAGUUCCACUCAACAAAUGUUUAUUGAGCAUCUACUAUGUGCUGGGACCAUGCUAAGAAUCCAAGGUGCGUCAGUGAAGGAAACAGAGAAAGACCCACGGCCCACACAAAGGUUACAUUCAAGUUGCGUGAAACAUAAACCAUAAAAUAUAGAUAUGUUAUAAUAAACAGAUAUUACAUGCUUUGUUAGAAAUUGGUAAGUGCAAGGAAAACAAUAUAAGGUACGGGGCAUGGGAGUGAGGUGAGUUGCAUUUUCCUACAGGGAGGUCAGGGUAGGCCUCACUGAGAAGGUGACAUUGACCAAAUGUCAACAAGGCAAAGAAGCGAAGCAUGAGAGCAUCUGAAGAAAGGGCACUCCCAGCAGAGAGGACAGCCAGUGCCAAGGCUGACGGGGAUGGGCACAUAGGGCAAAGGGGCUGCUGUGGCUGGAACAGACUGCUGUUCAGGGAACAGCAAGAGGCCAGAGGGAGUGAGCAAAGGGACACGAUUAGGGAAUCACAGGUAGACAAUGGUAUGAAGGAUGUGGUUUUUAUCCUUAAUAUCCUUGGUGAUGGGAAACCUCAGGAGGGUUUUGAGCAGAGAAAUGAGAUUUUCAAAGGAUCACUCUGGAUGCUGCUGGGAAGAGACCAAAGGAUGCAAUAAUGGAAGCUGAGGGAGGGUCUGGAGGUAGCUGCACGAAUGCAGGUGAGAGGCAAUGCAGGCUUGAACAAGGGUGGUCGCAGUGGAGGGGCAGGAGGUGGUUGGCUCCUGGAGAGAAUUUGAAGGUAGUUCCCACAGUCUUUCCUGAUGCACCAGAUGGGAGAGGAGUCGGAAUGGCUCCAGGGCUUCCCACUUGAGCUGCAGGAAGAUGGAGUGGCCAUUACCUGAGACGGGAAUGGCUGCAGAUGGGCUGGAUGUGGGGCAGUUAACCAGAAGGUCAGUGUUGGAUUGUUCACUAUGGGAAAUCAGGUAGGCAGUGGAUUGAAGAGCAAGAAAGAGUUCUAGGCUGGAGAUAAAUGGAAACAUCAUCAACAUAUUUAAAGCCAUGAGACAAGGUGGGCCCCUCGGAGGACUGGGUAUAACCAGGGAAGAAAGGGGGCCCCACGCAGAGCCCAGGAUCCUCCAGCACGACACUGUCAGAGCAAAGAGAAGGAGCAAGCAGGGGAGAUGGAAAAGGCGAGCAGCAAGGAGGAGGGAGACCAAGAGCACCCGGUGUCCUGGAAGCUGGUGAUGAGGACUCGCCACGUCAAGCAGGAGGAGAACAAGAACUGCCCACAGGACCCAGCCACAGGGGGUGGUGGGUGCCCUGAGAAGGGCCAUGUGGGUGGAGUGGGGGUGCAGAAGUCUGAUGAGACGGCAUUUGGGAAAGAAGGGAAGGAUUAGGACGAGGCAACAGACAAGUAAAACUCUCGUGCGGGGUUCCACCAGAAACGCAACAGGAUGGGGCAGCGGGACGGGGAAGGGGGUCAGGGAAGGGGUCGGGGAAGGUGGUGGCCAUUUCUGGUCAGGUGGAAAAUGGCAGCGUGUCUGUGUGCUAAUGGGGUGAUCCAGCAGAGGGGACAGCAGGUGGUAGGACGAGAGUGAGGCCACAUCAGGAGCUGUGGAAGAAGAGCUGGAGUCAGUCCAAUACCAGGGGUUCUGGCACCACGGGGGCCAAGUGGCUUCUGCCACAGUCACAGUAGAAGGCAGAGUACGGAGGUUUGGGGGCUGGGUGUAGGCGUGUAUGGUUGGGGGAGUCUGAGGAGGCCACAGGGCAGCUUAGGGUCACCCCGUUUCCACCACUUUUCACCUAUGUAACCUUGAAUGAGUUGUUCACCCUCUCUCUCUCUGCCUCAGUUUCCUAAUCUGUAAACCUGAGCAACUGCAGGUCUCUGCCCCCGGAAAACUCAUUGAGAGCAUGUAGAUGAGGCAAUACCUACACAGCCCCUAGCUCAGCACCUGCCCAUCGGAAUCCUUCCUCUCUGGGUGCCUGCGGUGAAGCCCCGGCCCGGCCAACCUGGACCUCUCCAUUCCCACUCUGGAGCUAGCGCUGGGUGUUCCUGGGGAAGCACUGCUUGGCCUCCUCACUCAUGCUUUCACAUUGUUUCUCACUCUCACAUCCAGACAAGACAGCACCAGGAAACCCACGCUGAGCUGGAACCCUCCUUCUGCAACAAACAAGCUGGGAAGGUCCUGGGCAAGUUGUUACGUCUCUCUGAGCCUCGUUUGCAUCCCACAUAAAAGAGGAGGCAGGAUUGAAUGAGCUCUAAGGUUCCUUCAAGUUCUAGAUUCAUGAAAUAAUGUUUUUUCCUCAAGAAAAAGAAUUAUUCAUUGUAUAAAGAAAUACACACCUGUAAUCCCAACUACCCACUGGCUGAGGCAGGAGGCUCGUUUGAGGCUCGUUGAGUUCAAGGCUGCAGCGAGAUCAGGCCACUACGCUCCAGCUUGGGUGACAGGGUGAGACCCUGUCAGAAAAAAAGAAAAGAAAAGAAGAGGGAAGGGGAUGGGAGGGGAGGGGAGGGGAGGGGAAACAAUGGGUCUCAAAGAAAAUCCUUUAAGAACACACAGAAGCAGUAGGGAGAGCCCACGCCUGUCCUCAUUUGUCCCUGGAGCUGUGGGCUGUGAGCUGAUGCUGUGAAGGCCAGACCCAAAGCCAGUCACACAGAGGCAGCAGCUGGACCGGCCUCGCCGACUGAGACCAGUGGCCACACAGACACACACCUGACAAGGUAGACCACGAAACACAGACGCAGGCCUACUGCCAAACAGACGACUUCUCCCUCAAAGCACAGUCAUCUUCAGAAUGAGAGGCGGCCCAUCCUAUGGAACCGAGAGGCGUGGCUCUUAAAUUUGGGCUUCAAAAGACAAGCUCAGUCCCUGAUUUUUUCCACCUGAGAAGGAGGCUUUUCUGAACAUGACCCAGUGCGUUCAGAGCAGCCAGGAUGAGGAAACACAUCUACAAAGAAGCAGCUUAAUCCAAACACAAGAAAUGGUAUGCAAAAUAGGAUAUCAGACGUACUUUUGCAAUUGAACAUGGUCAAAACCAUUUUGCAGCAAGUAACUUUUCCUGAGUUCAAGUAAGAGUUUAGUCCAACAUUUAUAUGUGACACAGCCAUGUGAGGCCUCUUCUCUGAGUACAAAGUAAAGUCUGG
rnacentral:lncRNA from 1 species